GCUGUGGCUUGCCUUUUCACUUCUUGUGUCCUGUUUAAGAAAUAUCUGCUAUCCCAAGCAUCUGGCAUCUUUCUUGACAUAUGUAGCAGUUGCUUUUUGACAGCUUGCUUCUUCAGUGAAUGAAUAAAUUAAUAAAGAGAAAUGUGAUGUUCAGUGAUCCAUUUUGCAGAUUGCAAACUCCUAGAGAAGGGCUCAACAGUGAGUGCUGAGGCUGCACAGAGGAGGAAGGCAGCACAAUGAUGGAAGGCUUCCUAAAGAGAUUGAGCCUCAUAUUUCAUAUCUGCCCCUGGCCUAAUGGUUGUUUACAGAAUGAGCUCAAUGAAUAUUGUUAAAUAACACUAACAAAGUUGACCUUAGAAUUGGAGUGCCUGGGUUAGAACCCUGCUGGUACCACCUGCUUACUGCAUGCUUCUGAUGUGAGUUCAGGAGAAGACACUGGCAAGGACAGCAAAGAACAGGAGAACACUCUAGCUUCCCUGAUAGCAUUCAAGGUGCUGUCCAAAGCUGAAAAAGUUUUGGAAGCCCUCCUAAGCAGGUGCCAGACCCUUUUUUGGCCAGAGACAGGAUCUUACGCUGUUGCCCAGGCUGGAGUGCAAUAGUGUCAUCAUGGCUCACUGUAGCCUGGAACUGCUGGGCUCAAGGGAUCCUCCCAGCUCAGCCUCCCAAGUAGCUAGGAGUAAAGGUACAUGCCAUCAUGCCUAGCUUUUUUUUUUUUUAAUUUUUGGAGAGAUAAGUUCCCAUCAUGUUGCCCAGGCUGGUCUCUAACUCUUGGACUCAAGUGGUCCUCCCACAUCAGCCUCUCAAAGUGCUGAGAUUGCAGGUGUUAGCCACUGCACUUGGCCUGGCCCCAGUAUUCUUUGGGAUCUGGAGUUUGCUGUUGAAUGAGAAGGCAAGAUGAAAUUCCAUGUAGUCAGACUCCUACGCUGCUGUUCUAAGCAGGGUUGGGCCUGAUUAGUAGGUUAUAGAUGAUGUUUUUCUGUGGUGCUAUCUGGACCUAGUGCUCUUUGGCAUCUGGGAAGGUAUGGCCUUUAAAAAGCAAACUGCCAUGAGAACUGCUCUACCCCAAAUUUUGGUUCACAGCCUUCAUUUGAUUAUGUAUUGGGGCAAAAAUAGUUUAGCCAUGUGAACCUGUUUGUAAACUGGUGAGUUUCUAUUGCUAUUUCAUAGCUAAAGUUUUGAGGUAAAUGCUAUUGGAUCUUUGUGUCUGUGUGUGUAUACAUAUUUAGAUGUGUUUAUGUGUAUGUACAUUUAUUAUAUGUUGUGUCUACCAACUUUGCUUAUAAGCAAAAGAAUGCUUGUAAAUUAAGUAAAUAAGUUCAAGAAUUUUUUAAAUUCACUUGAUUAAGUAAAUUGUUAAUUUUAAAAACUAGCUUUAAAAUUAUUGGUAAGGUAAAAAUAGAAAUGUCUUUGGAAUUGCCAGCAUACCUUUUUGUCUGGGUUUUAUAUUUGUCUCUGCUAGAUAUUUUGGGGUGUCGGGGUUUAGCAUAAAAGGUUAUAAAACAAUAUACCCAGCCAAAACUAAAUAGUCUUUGUUUGUGUGACUUUUUUCAAUAAGUAAGACUAAUUCAAUGUUAGUUUAAUGAAAAUAGCUGAAUUUUCUGAAUUAUUGACACAAUACCCAUGUAUUUAACUUUAAAAGUGUUCUUACUUAGGUGAACAUCUGAUCUUCGCAGGCUAUAAAAAAGGUUAACAAGGAAAUAACUUGAAAUGAUGAUUAGCUUUGUCUAAUAUUUCAGUUUUCAGAAGUAAUCUAGAUAAAUCGUUUGAAAAAAUGAAAGAAUCAUGUACAUGUAAAUGGGAUAAAUGCUUGUAGCUGCACUUUUUAAUGUAAUUUGAAAUCUUGAAGUUAUUUAGGAUUGAAUAAUAGAUGCUUUUUGGCCAUCUGGGUCACUUCCAAUUAAGAAAGGAUUAUGGGGCCGGAUGUGGUGGCUCAGGCCUGUAAUCUCAGCACUUUGGGAGGCCAAGGCAGGCAGAUCACCUGAGAUCCGGAGUUCAAGACCAGCCUGGCCAACAUGGUGAAACCCCAUCUCUGCUAAAAAUACAAAAAUUAGCUGGGCACGGUGGCAGGCACCUGUAAUCCCAGUUUCUUGGAAGGCUGAGGCAGGAAAAUCACUUGAACCCAGGAGGCGGAGGUUGCAGUGAGCCAAGACCAUGCCAUUGCAUUCCAGCCUGAGUGACAAGAGCAAAACUCCGUCAAAAAAAAA
rnacentral:lncRNA from 1 species